ensembl:snoRNA
CUCCAAUGAUGAUCCAGCCAUGCUAAUACUGAUACAUCCGGCAGUCUGCCGGGGUGUAAGUGAGUUCAGCUUAGCUUCUCACGCUGAUGGUAUCAGUGUGUGCUGAGGAGA